UUGCACAAUGGAGAAAGCCUACUGCAGCAACGCCGUGUGGGUGACGAAGGCCUUCGGGUUGUAAAGCCCUGUUGUUGGGGACGAAGGGUUAGGGGUUAAUAGCCCCGAGCCGACGGUACCCUUGGAGGAAGCCCCGGCUAACUACGUGCCAGCAGCCGCGGUAAUACGUAGGGGGCGAGCGUUGUCCGGAAUCAUUGGGCGUAAAGAGCGUGUAGGCGGUUCGGUAAGUCCGCCGUGAAAACCUGGGGCUCAACCCCGGGCGUCCGGUGGAUACUGCCGGACUAGAGGGUGGUAGAGGCGAGUGGAAUUCCCGGUGUAGCGGUGAAAUGCGCAGAUAUCGGGAGGAACCCCAGUAGCGAAGGCGGCCCGCUGGGCCAUUCCUGACGCUGAGACGCGAAAGCGUGGGGAGCAAACAGGAUUAGAUACCCUGGUAGUCCACGCCGUAAACGAUGGACACUAGGUGUGGGCGGAUUCGAUGCUGUCCGUGCCGCAGCCAACGCUUGG
rnacentral:rRNA from 1 species